rnacentral:snRNA from 1 species
CAUAUACUCGAAUACCUA